GCUAGUAAAUAGCAAUUUCGCUUGUAAAGUUUAAAGUAAUUAUGUUUGUUUUGUGGUAAAAUUCAUUACUUGCCGCGUUUAUUUAGAGCUUCGCUUCUGCAUCUGAGCAGUGAAUACGGAAAAUGUUUGCAAUACGUAUCGAGAAUACGUUGCAACAGACUUCUCAUUAAAACUGGAGGUCAAUUGGCGGAGGAGCUAUAUGGGAUGAAGGCGUAACCUCAAGUGUGGAGUAUUGCCAAGCAUGCAACAGUGUCUUGUAUCAUUACAGGAUAAGUCAGUAACGAGUUAUUUCACUAUUUAAGAUCAUUCAUAAUAUUCAAGGACAUGUUUCGUUAUCUGACCCACCUAAGUUGCAUUUGCAAGCAUUGGAAAGGCGCACCGAUUCUAAUGGUAGUGUUCGAGAGCAGCAUGUGAGUUUAACAAAAAUGACUGUGUGUUGCAACAAGCCCCAGAACACCGGUUGGAGUAUGUGUAUGAAAUAGAGUAGUAAAUUAUUCCUAAUACAGACCUCCGAGUCUACAAAAAGCAUUAAAGACAAUCUCAUUUCAUGCGAUAGACCGUCUCAAGAGAGCUUUUGAGUUCAGUUUGUAGUCUAAUUGUGUGCCAAUUACUAGCCUGAAGCGAUAUCUUCCCGGGUUAAGCACGCACGAACAAAUCUUACAACUCGCUCUUUGGAAUUCCUUGAUUUUACAAUUAGCGGACGUUCCCCAUGGACAUGCGCAAGUGGAGAAAAUGGACUUGAAAAAUUCAACCCUCAGUAACCGGCGGAUUGUUUAAAUAGCCAUUAUGUAGUUAAUGCAAUGGUACAUUUACGAAUUAAAGGGUCGAAGGGAAUAACCGCCUUAACGCUUUGAACACGCGGAGAAGGAUUUUACGCGGAGCAAAAUUUGAAAAUUGUUCAGAUUUGACAUAUUGUGCGACUGUUACAUGAAAAAAGUAAUUAUUUCUAAAGUCGGGAGUAAGAGCGAAUCUUCAACAUAUGUGGAAUAACUCUACAAGAGUUCUGUAAACUUUAUAUUGAACUCCGAUUUAAAAAGGUUAAUAAAAUAUAUGGAGAAAUUCAUGAAAAAACGUUGAAAACUUUCGUAGAAAUCACAUUUGAGGUAUUGAGUGUUUGUGAUCACAUAAGUAUAAGGUCUAGAUACCUCAAUUUUGUCAAAUGUAUAGAAAAAGUCUGGAGAACAUUAUGAAAAAUCUCAUAAAAAGUCAAUUCGAGGUACCGAGUGUUUUUUGAAGCACUUCAAUAUAAGAUCUAUAAACCUCAGUUCUAUCAAAUGUAGCUGCAAGUCCCUACUCUGCGAAGGUUCUAUGAAAAACGUCUUUUGUUCUUUUGCGAUAUUUUUCAUAGUUCACGAAAAAACUUCAAAAACUACAUUUUUAGGGGAAAAAAAUUCUCCCGGCCUCAAAAAUGGUUCAUGUAUUUUUUUCAAAUUUUGAAAGUAUGAAAAAACUAUAAUAACCUUUAAAAGAACAUAUUUCGCCCUCGUAGGCUUUUGCGAUUUCAAGUUUAGGGCCCUGCCUAAUUUCAAAUGGAUGCGGUCAGCGAUGAUUGUUAUUCGUACGUUAUUCUCCACAAAACGGAGUUUCAUUAAAGUUUACUUGUAACCACUAUCAAUAAAAUCGCUGAUGAUUAUACAU